AAUUGGAGGGCAAGUCUGGUGCCAGCAGCCGCGGUAAUUCCAGCUCCAAUAGCGUAUAUUAAAGUUGUUGCAGUUAAAAGGCUCGUAGUUGAAUUUCGGGAUCAAUAUUUCGGUCAUGCCGUUGGUAUGCACUGUUAUCAUUGAUUUCUCACCUUCUAAAGAACCGUAAUGCCAUUAAUUUGGUGUUACGGGGAAUUAGGACUGUUACCUUGAAAAAAUUAGAGUGUUUAAAGCAGGCUCACGCUUGAAUACAUUAGCAUGGAAUAAUGAAAUAGGACAUCCGAUUCUAUUUUGUUGGUUUCUAGGAUCGAUGUAAUGAUUAAUAGGGAUAGUUGGGGGCAUUAGUAUUCAAUUGUCAGAGGUGAAAUUCUUGGAUUUAUUGAAGACUAACUACUGCGAAAGCAUUUGCCAAGGAUGUUUUCAUUAAUCAAGAACGAAAGUUAGGGGAUCGAAGACGAUCAGAUACCGUCGUAGUCUUAACCAUAAACUAUGCCGACUAGGGAUCGGAUGAUGUUAAUUUUUUAAUGACUCAUUCGGCGCCUUACGGGAAACCAAAGUGU
rnacentral:rRNA from 1 species